AAAAAUUUAAAAAGGGUAAAGAUGAAAAUUAUUUAAUUUUUAAUCUCAAAAAUCCGAAAGUGAUUUUAUCAAUGUCCUAAGAAAAUUAAAAUGAAAACAAACUUAAUAAUGUAAAGAAAGGAGGUUUCUGCCGGGCUGGGGGCGGGAGCUACGGCUUCUCUGGGGACGCGGAAGCGAGAAGCAGGGACCUUGGGGCGCGCCCGGUUUUCCGGGACGGUGCCCCGGCCCCCAGCCCACGCCUCCGGCCGCUGGCAUGGUGCUGCUGGCUGGGACCCGGCCGCAGGGUGGCUGGGAGCGCUGCAUGACCCCGCCACCGCCGUCCCCACUCCUAGGCGCACAGGUCGAGGAGGACCGCGCUGACUACAAAGAGUUCCAGGGCCCCACACCUGCAGCAUAGCCUGGGACGACUCUGUACCCUUUCCAGGACGAGGAGGAGCACGGCGUCGAGGGCUUGGAGAGCGUCCCGGAGGAGGGCGUCCAGGAGGCAUGGGGCUGCUGCGGACGCUGGUGCGGCGAGGGGUGAGCGUUGAGAAGGCGCAGGAGACUGACCACAAUGGCUGGACCAGCCUUAAUGUCGCCUGCUACCACGGCUUUGUGGAUAUACCGUGGUGGCCUUAGCUGAGUAACCCCACACUGACGUCAACUGGCAGGACAGGGAGGGGAACGCAGCCCUAAAUACAGCUGCACAGGCAGGAGCUGCCUCUGGCCCCAUGGGCACCGUUGCCUUGGACACUGGCUCUCAGCCUUGUGCUUCCUGGUCAGCAUCACGUGGGCUGGUUCAUUUGAGCUUUAACACAGAUCUGGUGGAAACACAGGCUGCCAGGCCCUGCCCCUGGAGUCUUUCUUUGAAUAGGCCUGGGGUGGGGCCCAAGAAUGAGCAGAAGAACAGGUUUCCUGGUGAGGCUGAUGCCGCUGGCCCAGGGUUCUCACGUUGAGGACCGAGAGCUUUGAGGUUUUCAUACCUGAUGAUGUCCAGGAACCCUUCUCAGUAGGCACUGAAGACCAUCAGCAGAAUCACAGACCCCAGGAGAGAUGUCGUCAGACAGACACAGAGGCAUCACCGAAUUAAAGUGAAAAUGAAGAAAGGAGCUGAGCAUCUGUUUCAUGACUUUCGUGGCUGUUUUACUAAAGAGGCUAUCCUGGCCCAGUCAGGGCACGCUAUCAUCACCAACUACUUGUUGAACUACGUUCAGGGUCUUGAUCUUGAAGGAGGGACGCGUUCGGGUUGAAAGCCGCCAUGCAGGGUCGAACGGAUCGCAUCGGAGCCCUGAGCUAGCAGGGGCGGGUGUCCACGCGAGGGCCCCCGCCGUGGGAUGUCGCCAGAGGAGUGGCCACUUAUACGUCCGCCUCAUGCAGAGGCUCCUGGAGCGCCCCUGCCGGGAGCUGUUGGGGAAAAAGUACCAGCUUGAGCUGCCGCCGCUCCCCGAGAGGCCGCAAAAGCCCGAGGGCUCCAAGAACUGCCUGCAGAGGCUCAGGGACUGCGAGCUGUCCGCGCUGACGCCGCGCUCCAUGCGGGGCCCAGAGGACCGGGGCGCCCUGGACCACAUGGUCAGGAUGACCACGAGCCUCUAACAGCCCCGCCGGGGCCCUCGCGUGCCAGACUAUGUGCCCCGAGAGCACCUUGUGCUGGGGGAAGAGGCGGCUGGCGGUGCAGGAAAUCCUGGCGGCGCAGGAAAUUCCGGCGGCGCGGCGAGGGGUGGGGGGAGGCAGGCGCAGGAGGCGGGCGAAGAGGAGGGCGCAGAGUAGCAUAAGCCGCUCGGCCUAGCGGCCGCUGGCUCCACAAAGGCCUCCCCAAGAGCCGGCCUCCCACCUGCCCGGCUGCCGGGGUCCUGGGGCUCCGCCGCCCCCGCCCCGCGGACGGCCAGCCUCCUGCCCCUGCAGUGCCUGCAGCAGAGCAGCUUGGGGCCCAGCGUGGUGGUGCCCAGGUCCGCCUCAGCAAGGUGCCCGCGCCCACCUUCCAACCCAAAAGGCCGGCGCGGAAGGGCAGCAUAAAGGCAGCGGCCACCUGCGGAUACCCAAGUGGCCUUACAAGGUGGCCAAGGAGGAGAAACGGGAGGCGGAGGAGGCCGAGAAGAGGCGCCAGGCCAAGGUGCAGGAGAAGCGCCCGCCGCCCUGGAAGAAGAGGACGUGAGAGUCCGCGGGUGCUUGGCACGGGGUUUGAGGGCUGGGUGAGGCCGCGGGGCUGGGCACCAUGGCAGCUCUCGGGACCACCGGGCAGCGCGCGUUUCCACGCUGUCUCUCUAGGAUGCUCCCAGAAAGGGGCUGGGGGAGCCACAUCGAUUCGCUUCACACCAGCCACCCUAGCAAUCAGUACACCUAGGGGGCAUGUUCCCUAAAAGGCUCCCUUUAGAGAACCUCAAUUAAGAUUUUUUUAAAGAUUAAUUUAUUAGGCCAGGCGCGGUGGCUCACGCCUGUAAUCCCAGCACUUUGGGAGGCCGAGGCGGGCGGAUCACCUGAGGUUAGGAGUUUGAGACUAGCCUGACCAACAUGGAGAAACCCCAUCUCUACUAAAAAUACAAAAUUAGCCGGGCGUGGUGGCACAUGCCUGUAAUCCCAACUACUCGGGAGGCUGAGGCAGGAGAAUCGCUUGAACCCUGGAGGCAGAGGUGGCAGGGAGCCAAGAUGGCGCCAUUGCACUUCAGCCUAGGCAACAAGAGCCAAACUCCGUCUCAAUUAAAAAAAAAUCAAUUUAUUAAAGGAUAUUUUCUGUGUAAUUUUGUAUUUUUAAUUGUUGUCCAAUUUGCCAAGUUUUACAAGUGAUAGGGUCCCUUGUAUCCAAGGAAGUUUUUAUACACUUACCUGAAGACCUUUUAUUUAAAACACUGUUUCCAGCAAUAAAUAUUUAUGAUAUCUGUAGGACUUUACACAGAAAUCAUGGGAUUCUCUCCUUUUUGGGCUGUUUGCUUUGGUCUUCUCAUCAUGGGUGGAUGUUUUUAUUAAUUAGAUUAAGUGAUGCCGGAUAUUUCUAUUUGAUGGAGGGAUUGACUGGUUCAGCCACAUGAUCAAGUGAGACAGAGAGAUCAGAUUUUAUUGUAUCUUUUUAAAAAGUAUUAUCCAAUACAGUCAUAUAUUGAGGAAAAACAUUUAUCGUCAAAUUAUAAAACAAUGCAGAGAUAGGCAUGUCUGUAUUGCUAGAAUUAAACUCAUUUUAAGCAAGGAGUUUUAGAUAAACUGUAUACAAAAAUCUUUAACAUAUUAAAAUAGACAUGAGAAAAAUGUGUCAUUUGAUAAAAUGGGGGAAAUGUAAUAAAUGAUUACCAGAAAUAUAAAAUUAAGCCGUAUAUGCUCUUAAGUAAAUCGAAUCUAGGCAUCCUUAAAAUGUAAAAAAGGAUGCAACAAGAGUAAGGAGCCCAGAAUGAUGUAAAUUACAGGAAUGGGGUGUAAUGUAACCUCUAGAGGAGGUGAUGUUUAGAAGAAGCAAAGAGAAUGCAAUGAGAAGCAAACUUGUUUUAGGCAAAUUCUCCUGGAGUGGACCAGGCAGCCCCCUCUUCCAGACUCAGUUCCAGAGAUUCCCUUAUGUGGGUAUUUGUUUUAUUAUUCCUUUGAGGACUGCAUUUGGUGUUUAGUUCAUCCUCAUGUGGACCCUAUGGAAUUUCCAAGAUGCGGGGCCUUAGCACUGUGGCACCUUCCUGCCACACGUACAUAAUUCACAGCAUUACCAAGUCACCACAAGCCCCACGCUCACCUCUGUCAGCCCAGGACCCAGCCAGGCAGUGCCACGUGGUCUCCCAGGCUCGCUUCUCCAAGCCGAACUGCGAAAGUUAUUGAGGCACUGGCCCAGGGAACUGAGCCUUGGGCCUGUCCUAAAGCUCCAUAGGUGACUGCACUGCAGCCCACAUGGAGAGCUGCAGCUCUAACACAGGGAUUUUGAGAGGCCUCAGUGCCAUUUAAGUGGCACUUCCAGGACACCCAUCCUGAGCUCCCACAAAGGGCGCCACCUUCCCAAGAACGUCUAAUUGUCAUUGGAACAGCCAGUGUCAGGCAGCUUCUGCUCAGGCUGAUGUGGCGUCUGACCCUUGGUGGGUUGCCAGACAUUCCUUCCUGUUUCUGCCAUGGGAAGUUGGCACUGGGAAUGGUAUGGAGCCCCCACUUCUACCCUGAGCCUUGGGUGUCUGCUGCUUCCAGGUGAAAAAUGGACAUUUCUGAUACUGCCCAGCCACUACGGCACCACAACCCAUGCUCAUAGUCUCCAGGGAUGUGUAGAACGGCAAUGGCAGGACAGCAAACAACUGGCGAUUUCCCCAGGUCCCACGCUCUUGCGGAGUGAGUAUGUUGGGUCCCUGUCCCCAGUGUGUUCCAGCCUUACCCAGGUGCACAGAGUACCCUGGGGCCAGCACAGGGCUUGUCCAGUGAUGCUCCUGGUGUUCACAAAAUGGCUCCAGAGAUACCUGCAUUUUGAAAAGCCUGCCGAGCCAGCAAGUGUAGGGCAGGACCCGGAUUUCUUUGGCAAAUCUGAAGGUGAGAGGGCCACUUGCCUGCUGAGUAGAAGCUGCCUUUACCUGGCCAGUGUAUGCAACUUGAGAGAAAAUGACAGCUGCAUGGGGCGCUCUGGUGGGACUGGGAAGUCUGAUCUUCCGGGGAGCUGUAGAUAGUGAAUUUCAAGUUGACAGCUACCUUCUCAGGGAUUUAUAUAUAAAUAUAGUUAGAGGAAAAGCUAAAAUCUAUUUUACUAGUUUUUAGUGUUUGUGUAAAGUAAGCUUAAACUGGACAGAAUAAACAUUUCUCAGACAAUGUUGAUGCUACUGAUUACAAGUUAGAUGGCUGGAGCUUGCCCCUUGGUGGAGAAUUUCUUGGUGAUUGGAGACUGGGGACUCUGGCAGCAGAAGUGGCUUUAUGGUGGGUGUGAAGUUGCUUCUGCCCCUCUGAGUGGCCUCUCAUGGAUGUGAAUGCGUGUAUUGACACCAGUGAAAUCCACCUCCGUGUGCGUGGAGGUGGCUGAUGAGAACACAAGUGAGCCAGUCCUGGUUCUUCCCUCCAGAACCGGUCACUCCCAGUCUGACGUUGGAGCAUGUGAACUAAGAGUGACAUUUUUUUCUACUUGCUUCUGUGAAUAAAGUGUUCUACAGUCAGCCAGCACUAAACACCAGAAAGGAGGAGGGAACAGCGUGGAGCAAUUCAUCUGGAAUUACCUCGGUGUGCAGAGGCUGUCCCUUGGCUCCACUUGGGAUAAACAUUGUGAAACAUCGUGGGCCUCUUUCUUCUCAAGCUCCUCCUGACAGCCUCCUGGCAACACUAGAGGCCUCAAGACUAUGGAGAUCAGAAUUGCAAUGGCUUUGUCAUCUCAGCAUUGACCACUCCUGAGACCCAAGGUUCCUCCUGGGAGCAGGAGACAAGGAGUUUGUGAUGUUGGAUGGAAAAUAGGAUAUAUGAAUGCAGAAGGGCUGUGCUGGACCCCUCUUUUCGCUUCUCUCCCUGCUGUCAGCAGUGUCUCUGGCAUGGAGGCGAAUCUGUUGUGGGUGAAACAGAAGCCCCUGGGGUAGGACCAGACCCCAGGCCUGAAAAGGAUGCAAAGCCUGCUGUUUCAGGCUGUCAGGAAGAAUCGUGGGUACCGAGUGAUUAUGAUGAAAUGCAACCCAGAGAGGAAAUGAAUGGGCCCUCACUAAGAAGUGGGUCUGACAUGUCUCUGGCAGCCCACCGGCAAGAGCACGACAUGCCCUGCAGCCCCACCAUCCACACUACAUGAUGUGGGAGGGCUGUCUGUUCAUUCUUACACUGGGGACCCAAGCCUGCUCUGAGGAGUGAGUCACAGCCCUGACGUGCGCCUUGCAUUACUGUUUCCUGAGAUGUGCCCGGAGACUCAAGCUUGCUCAUUUCUGUCCUGACACAGCUCACUGUUCCUUAGGUGGUCAUAGUCCUCCCGUGCUGUGUCAGCUCCUACAUAGCAUUAGUCUUUCACGUGAUAAAGUGCAAGCACUUUUCCAUUUUACAGUAUUUGGGGAAAUUCUAACACACUCCCCAGGGAUUUGUGCAUGUCCUUCUGCCUCCCCGGUGGGUCAUUCUGUGGAUUCCGCACCUGGCAGUCGGUCUUCCCCCUUGGAAGCCCCUAGGAUCCCUGUUUCUACGGGCCUGGUCCUUGGUUUCUACCCCAGUCCCUUUUGGCCGGCACCUGCCUGGAACUGCCUGGAGCGCCAUGGUAUGGGGAAGGACAGGUGGAACCCUGACCACAACAGAUCCUUCUAAAACAACAGUCACAUUGAUGAUGAUGAGUGCAGUGGGGUGAAUGUCGUCACAGCAUGCAUGCUGGGAGCUGCCAAGGGCUUACAACAAAAGCAGUUCUUCCUAAGGCACCCUUUGCAUCUUCCCAUCCACGCCUCUCAGUGCAUUUGGAACUUGCUUAUGCAUUGGAAUAACUUGAGUCAGCUGCUCGUUUCUGUGCCUCUGCACUCACAGGUUCCUUCAUUAACAUUUUAAAUAAGUGGUUAAAAACUCCUCUGGAGGUUGUUUUUGAAAGAAACAGGGAAAAGAAAAACACACACUACCUGAAUUGAUUUGAGUAAUUUUCCAGUGACUCAGUUGAAACUCAGUGUUGCAUACAUAAUUUCCUCAUGCUGAGCCAGCCUGAAAUAAGACUUGAUAAGAGGCACAGCCCUAAGUAGCAGGCAGUGCCACUGUGGACAGUGUACACUAUGGUGUGAGUGUGUGCACAGGCGAGCCUAAGUGUGUGUACUCAUACACACAGAUAAACCGAAAGGACACUGGGCUUUGUGCUGGCAAAGGCUGUGAUGCUGCUGUGGCUUUCUAUGGGCCCUGGGGAGUGUCAGAUGGGAAGUGCUUUGAUGGCAUGUUGUUCAGUGUAUUUAAUGGGGUCUCCCAUGGCCCGAGGACCCACUGUGAGCACUCCACCCACUGUGGCGCAGAACACGGCUGGAGUCAUCAUAGCCCAGGUCUUUAUUGAAAGGGAGUGUUGACCCAGAAGCCUCAUAUAGAAACCAUUUGGCAAGGUCUGGACCAUCUCUCUGCAACUGACCUGCCUUGGCCGCACAGAGGGACCCAAACCCAAAAGGCCCAGACCCAAGGGAGACUGAAUCACAUUUACCAUUACACCAGCUUUCAUUUAUUUGUUUCCAUAUGAUCAUAGGGACUGUAUUACUAAGUAUGCUUAUAAAUGCUAUUUACAGACUGUUCCCUUUUAUAAGGUGAAAGAUUAAUAAAGAACAAAAAAUUGCCUGUAGAAAACCAUGCCUGAGGCCAGGAGCAGUGGCUCAUGCCUGUAAUCCCAGCACUUUGGGAGACCAAGACAAGCAGAUCACCCAAGGUCAGGAGUUCAAGACCAGCCUGGCCAACUUGGAGAAACCCCAGCUCUACAAAAAUACAAAAAAAAAAAAAAAAUUAGCUGGCAUGAUGGUGGGUGCAUGUUAUUCCAGCUACUUGGGUGGCUGAGAGAGGAGAAUCGCU
rnacentral:lncRNA from 1 species